CCUUCACUCCUACGGGAGGCAGCAGUGGGGAAUAUUGCACAAUGGGGGAAACCCUGAUGCAGCCAUGCCGCGUGUGUGAAGAAGGCCUUCGGGUUGUAAAGCACUUUCAGUAGGGAGGAAGGUAGUGUAGUUAACACCUGCACUAUUUGACGUUACCUACAGAAGAAGCACCGGCUAACUCCGUGCCAGCAGCCGCGGUAAUACGGAGGGUGCGAGCGUUAAUCGGAAUUACUGGGCGUAAAGCGCAUGCAGGCGGCCUGUUAAGUCAGAUGUGAAAGCCCGGGGCUUAACCUCGGAAUUGCAUUUGAAACUGGCAGGCUAGAGUCUUGUAGAGGGGGUAGAAUUUCAGGUGUAGCGGUGAAAUGCGUAGAGAUCUGAAGGAAUACCAGUGGCGAAGGCGGCCCCCUGGACAAAGACUGACGCUCAGAUGCGAAAGCGUGGGGAGCAAACAGGAUUAGAUACCCUGGUAG
rnacentral:rRNA from 1 species